rnacentral:lncRNA from 1 species
AUGUGUGGGAUGAGAAAAGAAGUUAUUACACCAUCAGUUUCAUUGUCCUGGGCAGCAAUGUUUGUUGGAAGUACUUAUGUGGUUUUUUUUAAUGUGUUUUUUUCAGGAGCAGCUUGGCAAAGGCGUGACCCCAGUAAGUAUUUCUCCAGGGUUUUUUUUUUUCAAUUAUCUAUCUAUCUAUCUAUCUAUCUAUCUAUAUAUAUAUAUAUCUAUAUAAACCUUCCAAGAUGUCAGAAUUGGAGUAUUUAUGUCUUAAUCUGCUGUUUUGUUUGUUUGUUUAACUAAAAACACAUCAGUUGUUAAAUAAACUACUACGCAACAGCUGCAGCUUACAAACUUACAAAUUUCAACAACCCACACAUAAGAUGUAAAUUUAUCACAACAGUUUCUGUGGUAGAGCCAAACUAGCUUGUGUGCAGAGUUUGAGUUAUAAACAGUAUCGACAUUUUGAAUAGCUAAGUCUUUCAUAUUAGGCUAUCAUGCUUGUGCUAGCAUGACAUUGUGCUAUCCGGUUGUUCAGUCUGACGUCACUGGCCGUGUCUGGGCCUAAACUCCGCUGCAGGUCCAUAUAUCAAACGAUCACUGUGGCAUUACUGAGAGUUGAAAAACUGUCUAAAGUCUUUCAUCUUUAAUAAAAUCAUCAGUGUUCUGCUCUACCAGGUGUAACAAUUGAGUUUAACAUCCAGGCAUCCAUGAAAAUGGAAUUUAUGACAUUUAACGGCGUUAGAAGUUAGCAGGAAGUUAGCUCGCUAGCUUCUAUCUAAAUACAAUAUAGCAUGUCCUGACUGCGGGGUUUUGGAAACAAAUUCAAACGUACAGCUCUGCUAUCACUUCCAACAUAAAUGAAGACAGAAAACUAAACAGCAGUGACGUUUGUAGGGUUACUGAAGUUUGGCUAGCUGGUAUAUAAUGAUGUGCUACGUGACCGCUAGCGACACAGCUAUGUUAGCAUAAUAUAAACAAGCUAACUUUUUUUCCACUCGAUAAAAGUUAACGUGAGUGUUCUCGGUGGUCAGGAACAAAUGUAAUCGCAUGGCAGGAUGCUGUAAAAGGACUAAACUUCAGCCAGGAGAACAAGUGAGAUAAGCCAUCCACAAUACGAGGUUAGUCAUUCAUAUACUGCUGCAUAGGCUGUGCUGUAGUUACAUCGUAAGGUUUUAAAAACUGAGCUUAAAUAAAUGAUUAGCGGUAAUAAAAGCCGAGGGAGGUCAACAGUGAUCACUGACUGUUUUAGGAGCUUUUUGAGAUUAAAUAGAAGAAAAUACAAAACAUUAACCAUGUUAACAACACAAAAGGCAUAUUAAACGCAGACUACUUUAGGCCCGGAAGUAGGAUUCGUCACGUCAUCACUGAACAACCGGAUAUUGUUACUCUUAUGUGGUAGCUAGCUAGAGUGGCAUACACAGCCAGAUUUAAAAAACAAAAAAAAAAAAAACCCCAAACAAAUGUGAAUAAAUAGUACUGAAAAGAAUCGACAAACUAAUGAUACCUUUGCGCAAAAAGUAUUUUCAUCAAGAUGGAUGAAGACAGAUUGACUCUUACCUUUCCAAGAUGACCGCGAAGCAAAUCAUGUGCUUUCCUGCCUCCUGUGGUUUAAAAUCACGUGUGAACUUAUGAUAUCGCGAGUCUUCAAGGCAGCUAACCACUCUUAUUAGAUUUUAUCAUGUCAUGUCAACAAGAAUAAAUUUAAGAGGUGUUAAGUUGGUAAAUUUCAUGUAGAUCUUAUAUGAUUUUAUUACGUUCAUCUUAGAAACAUAAAUUAAUUUUGUUCAAAUUACAUGUUAGAAUCUUGUAAAUGCAAUAACCACCCAAUUUCACUUUUUUGAGUGUGGAGACAGUGUUCACAUUGCAUUCUGCCUAUGUGACAUUCAUUAGUGCCCUCACUGACACACAAAACAAAACGACUACACAACACACUAACUACACAUAAAUGACUCCACGAUUCCUCACAAUGUUACUUUAGGUCAAGACAAUGCCAUUCAGCGUAAGGAUCUGGUUAGAUACUAAGACAAUUGGAUCAAGUGAUGACUUUUUAACUAAUGGUUUAAUAACUGCCACCUUAAAGGCCUGUGGUAAAGGCUGAAUGUAAUGAUACAUCUGUGAGAUGAUUAUAAAUAUUUUUUUCUCUAAUGGUUAAAUUUUGUUUGUGAAGAAACUCAUGAAGUCAAUACUAGUUAAGGUUAAAGGAAUGCUUGUUUCAACAGAGCUCUGUGACUGUAUUGGCACACUGUAUUGAAGAAAGUAACAGUAGAGACAAUAUAUUGUUGCAUUUGGUUACAGCAAAAAGACAUCUACUAUAAUAAAAUGUCUUUCUGCUGUGUAAUCCAUUAAUGUAAAUUUAAAUGAUAUUAAGAAAUUAUCAGACAAAAUAGGGUUUUCAAGGAAUUCUAUUAAAUAUUCAGUUUCCAUGUCAUAUGUCAGAACAAGCUCCAGACUCCAAUAGGUGGGCUCUUAUACAUUUUGCGAGAAUCCAAAUAAAUCUAAUACUAGAUUAAAUGCUGUAUUGAGUCUGUCAUUUUUGGCAUCUAUAUGGAUAAAUUCGUCCACUGUAAUUAUUUUACCUAAGUACUAAAGAGGGAGUGAGAAGCAGAAAAUCUUAGUAAAGGCCAGGUGGGGAAUAGAUAACAACAAAUAAAAUUGGUUAUCAGUGUUUCCAGUUAGAGAGGACAAGGCUAAGAGUAAGACAUUCACAAGAAUUAAAAUCGUCUGGGUCUAUGGUUGAUUUAAAAAAAAAAAAAAAAAAAAAAAAAAAAAAAGCUGGAGUGAAAACUUGCUGCCACUCCCCCUCCUCAGCCCGUGGUUCUAGAAUUCUGCCAAUUAAUCUAACUCUAACCCUUGAUUCAUUAAAAUUAGCAUAAUCAUUCUGCUGUAACCAACUUUCUGUAAGGCAGAGCAAACCAAUAUGUCGAUCAAUAAUUAAAUCAUGUACUAACAGGAACUUAGAAUAGAGAGUUUAACCAUCCACAUUUAACGGUUUCACUAUUCUCGUGGGAGGGAGGGAGUUCGAUGCAGCAACUUCACCCCAAACCACUACUGCGCAGGCUCUAACUCCAAAUAUGUAACAUACUAUUCCCCAUAAACUGUCGAUUUAUUUGUUGGUUUUAGUACAGUAUGAGGAAGUGACACCAUGUCGUCCAUCUAUUAUACAAUCAUUAAUCUCGACAGCAAUGUAUUUAUUUAUUUAUUUUUUUACUCAGGCACAUAUGUGGGGGCCUACACUCUAAAAAAUGAAACAUGGGCUUUUUAAAAAUUAAUUCAUAGUUUUAUGUUCAAUAUACUUAAAAUUGUUAAUCUUAUGUGUGUAAUUAAUAUUUUUAAAUUUGAUUUAAUUAAUUCUAAACCGUUUUAAUGUUAAAUAAUAGUGAUAUUUUCAAUUUAUUGAACACAUUUAAUUAAAUCCAAAGAGCCCUUUCCACAUCCUUUCUGAGCAUGCGCAGAGAAUGAAAAAAAUCUUCGCGCAUACGCAUUCGCCUUCCUCAUCUACGCCACAGUGUGCUUUGGCCACGUGUCUGGAAAGAGGGAUUAAUCACGAUUCAUCCGCUGGAGUUAAGGUAAUUUCUUCGUAUUUUUAAUAGAAUAUAAUUUAACUAGUACUUUGUGAUAAUAUAUGGCGUAUAUUUUUCAGGUAAAUAUAUGGGCCGUGUGUGUUCUGUAGGUUUUAGCAUUUUGUAGCAUUUAGCUAGCAUUGGAAACAUUGAUUUGCAUAUUCGAUGUUACUGCACAUUUGAAUAUUGUCCCAUCUGCGUUUAAAAUUUCAUUCGCACUCCGAAUAGCACACUUAUUUUAUUUGUUUUAUUGCAGUAUCAAGUUAGGAGAACGUUAGCUAUCCACUGCUUGCUUAGCUUCGCCUGUGUGAGUAUGUCACGCAGGCGACCUCUGAAGGUGACCCCCACUUACCCCCAAAAAUAAAAUCAAGUAUACUGGGUGGUUAAUGCUCCGUUUGUGUCGGUUUGUGCUGUUAAAAUCAUCAUUUGUAUCACUAUGGUGUCAAAG